GGGUAGGACCAGGUUAUAAAGGGCACAGGAUUUUUAUUGUAAGUCAGAAAGUGAUAUGAAAGAAGUGACAUUUUUAGAAGGUUAAUCUGGUAGUAGUAUGCAAAGUAGAUUCACAGAAAGAGAGCUAGUGCUGGAUGUGGUGGUGGCACCUGUAGUCCCAGCUACUUGGGAGGUUGAGGUGGAGUUCAAGACCAGCCUGAGCAACAUAGUGAGACCUUGUCUCUGAAAAAAGAAAUAAUUUUUUUUUUUUUUUAAGAGAACAAGGAAUCAGGAAAGCUCUGUUAGGAGGAAUUUUAAAUAAUUCAGUAUGAGGUGACAAAUACCUGGGGUGGCAGAGGGAACAGAAAAAGAAACAGGGAGAUGCAUUUCAGAGAAAAAUGGACAGAAAAUGGUGAUUGAUUGCCUGUGAAAGAUGAAGGAAUGGAUAAUAAAAAAUUACUUCAAAGUUCCCUGGCUGGGUGGCAUGGCUCAAGGCCAAGGUAAGAGGAUUGCUUAAGGCCAGGAGUUUGAAACCAGCCUGGGCAACAUUUCAAGACCUUGUCUCUCAAAAAAAAAAAAAAAAAAAAAAAAAAAAUUAGCCAAGCAUGGUGGCAUGCACCUAUAGACCUAUAGUCCCAGCUACUACUUGGGAGGCUGAGGUGAGAGGAUUGCUUGAGCCUAGGAGUAUGAGGUUACAGUGAGCUAUGAUUGUGCCACUGCACUCCAGCCUGGGGGAGAGAGUGAGACUGUCUCUUAAAUAAAUGAAAAUGAAAACUCUUGCUGUUUCAUAAUUUUCUUUUUUAAUUUUUGAAAAUAUACUUACCAAAAAGAUCUAAAAGCAUGCUUUCUGUUCCUAAGAGUAAUGUCCACUCAUUGUUAGAACUUCAAGUAGUACAGAAAUAUAAAACUUAUAAAGUAAAAAUCUCCCAUAAUCCCACCACCCACAUAUAAUCACCCCUAACAGUUCGGCAUGUGUUCUUCUAGAUGAAAUGUUUGUUUGAAAGUUCUGAAGAACCUGAUUUCAGAGUGUAGUAGCGGCCAUUGUGCCUCUUUGUUUUGGGGUUACUCGACUUGAUAACACUUCUCAUUUUUAAUUUUAAUCACCCAAUCUCAUAACUAAUUGUAGGCAUAAUUAGUUACACAUUUUGUGGUUGAGUCCCACAAUUGCUCAGGAGCCUUCAGCUGUGCAUCUUUGAAGACUGACCAGGAGACUUUUGCUCUGAGUCUUGGCCUUCUUCCAGUGUAAUCAGGGAGCUUUUGAUAUUCUUUCUGUGUCCUGUCAAUCCCUUUCAUUACAUGUACUUUUCUUACUUUUGGGAACAUUGCUUUGGGUUUUCUUCAUUUCUUUUAAUAUUUUUGAUUUGACUUUCAGAUGACUGCUCUUGCAUUCUAAGAUAGCAAAACUUUUAGGUUAAGAAGAUUUAAGUCAGCUCUCAUUGUGUGAUGUGUUAAAUAAAGCAUGCUUGCUGGUGUUUAGUGUCUGAUUCAAA
rnacentral:lncRNA from 1 species